CCGGUUGCCCCACCCCCCGGGAUAAUCCCCGCCGGGCUCGAAGUGGUGGCCACUAUUACUGGGCUUAAAGCGUCCGUAGCUUGGUUGUUAAGUCUCCUGGGAAAUCCAUCGGCUCAACCGAUGGGCGUUCAGGGGAUACUGGCAACCUAGGGACCGGGAGAGGUGAGAGGUACUCCAGGGGUAGGAGUGAAAUCCUGUAAUCCUUGGGGGACCACCUGUGGCGAAGGCGUCUCACUAGAACGGCUCCGACAGUGAGGGACGAAAGCUGGGGGAGCAAACCGGAUUAGAUACCCGGGUAGUCCCAGCCGUAAACGAUGCGCGUUAGGUGUAUCGGUGACCACGAGUCACCGAGGUGCCGAAGGGAAACCGUGAAACGUGCCGCCUGGG
rnacentral:rRNA from 1 species